AUUUGAAAUCUGGCCUCCGGGUCCGAGUUGUAAUUUGCAGAGGAUGCUUUUGGCGAGGUGCCUUCCGAGUUCCCUGGAACGGGACGCCAUAGAGGGUGAGAGCCCCGUCUGGUCGGACACCGAGCCUCUGUAAAGCUCCUUCGACGAGUCGAGUAGUUUGGGAAUGCUGCUCAAAAUGGGAGGUAUAUGUCUUCUAAAGCUAAAUAUUGGCCAGAGACCGAUAGCGCACAAGUAGAGUGAUCGAAAGAUGAAAAGCACUUUGAAAAGAGGGUUAAAAAGUACGUGAAAUUGUUGAAAGGGAAGCGCCUAUGACCAGACUUGGGCCCGGUGAAUCACCCAGCGUUCUCGCUGGUGCACUUUGCCGGGCACAGGCCAGCAUCAGUUUGGCGCGGGGGACAAAGGUUUCGGGAAUGUGGCUCCCUCGGGAGUGUUAUAGCCCGUUGCGUAAUACCCUGCGCCGGACUGAGGUACGCGCAUUGCAAGGAUGCUGGCGUAAUGGUCAUCAGCGACCCGUCUUGAAACACGGACCAAGGAGUCGUCUUCGUAUGCGAGUGUUCGGGUGUCAAACCCCUACGCGUAAUGAAAGUGAACGUAGGUGAGAGCUUCGGCGCAUCACCGACCGAUCCUGAUGUUCUCGGAUGGAUUUGAGUAAGAGCAUACGGGGCCGGACCCGAAAGAAGGUGAACUAUGCCUGUAUAGGGUGAAGCCAGAGGAAACUCUGGUGGAGGCUCGCA
rnacentral:rRNA from 2 species